AGGGGUGUAGCCCCGCCUGUUCGGCGGGGCGCCACGUUCGGGACCCCGCCGUUGGCGGGGCGAGUUCGAAUCUCGCCACCCCGA
rnacentral:tRNA from 1 species